rnacentral:rRNA from 1 species
UGCCUUACACAUGCAAGUCGAACGGCAGCGCGGGGGCAACCCUGGCGGCGAGUGGCGAACGGGUGAGUAAUGCAUCGGAACGUGCCCAACGAUGGGGGAUAACUGCGCGAAAGCGUUGCUAAUACCGCAUACGACCUACGGGUGAAAGCAGGGGACCGCAAGGCCUUGCGUCGAUGGAGCGGCCGAUGCCGGAUUAGCUAGUUGGUGAGGUAAAGGCUCACCAAGGCGACGAUCCGUAGCUGGUCUGAGAGGACGACCAGCCACACUGGGACUGAGACACGGCCCAGACUCCUACGGGAGGCAGCAGUGGGGAAUCUUGGACAAUGGGCGAAAGCCUGAUCCAGCAAUGCCGCGUGUGGGAAGAAGGCCUUCGGGUUGUAAACCACUUUUGGCGGGAAAGAAAUGGUCUGUGCUAAUACCACGGAUUGAUGACGGUACCCGCAGAAUAAGCACCGGCUAACUACGUG